UCUACACUGGCUUCUUUUCGUUAGUCUCAGGGCUCAAAGCAGAACUGACCUCUGGGGCCACCUGGGACUCUAAGCCUGUGGGGAACAGAGUACCUAGCAUGCUGACUAGCCCUGUGUGGGAUCCUGGGAGCAGGGAGGGGUGAGAAGUCAUGAAGCAAACUCUUUGAUGCUCUCUAUUCAUUUUGUGCCCCUUCUUGGUCUCAUGCCUAAGGACCAGGACUUCAGCCGGUUCUCACGUGGGUCUGUUGUCUGUCAGCUUCCCCAGCGAGAGUUGGGAGUUCAGGGGUGGUGGGAGGAUUGCUCCUGGUGUCUAAGUCAAGGGUAACACCUAGGAGUACAGGCUGGGCACGAACCGAGCACAUUGUGUGAGCUCAGCAAGACCCUGAGUCCGAGGCUUCCCUCAUUUUGGAGAUAUGGAAACCCUGGCUCCAAGAGGGCUGGUGACUUGCCUAAGACACGGCUCCUCAGCGGUAGAACCAUGAGCUGGGGUCUCCUGGGUUCCAGGCUGUCACUAGCCUCCCUUGCCUGGAUCUCUGAUUUGCUUCCUAAUUUGUUGCAACGCAGAGAUCACCAUGGGUAGCCUCAAUGAGAGGCUGGCCUAGGCUCCCCGGCCCUUUGCUCUGACCUGCUCAUUUCCUAGCUGCCACAGACAGCUCGUUCAAUCAGCUCACCUCUCCUCUCUUUUAAUAGCUGUUGUGCAAGCAGCUCCCCUUCUAAAUGCACCGCCUGCUUGGGUUCCCAGCAGCCAGGAAAAGGAACUCUGUUUGUUGCUUCUGUGCUUAGGUGCUGUUCAUUAUGGCUUGGCUGUCACCCUGACACAUUUCAUAAAGUCUGGUGUACCCAGACACUUAAGAAAGUAGAGGCAGGCACCAGACUCACAGGGAGAUGCCAUUACCGCAAGCCCCGUGAAGGUAGCCUGUCUGAGGUCACCACUGGUAAGUGCAGGGUUAGGACUUAAAGAACCCCAGGUCUGGUUGCUCGCAGAACUUAGCCCCUGAAGACCCGUGUUUAGUGUUCUGAAGGCAGAGGAAGCUAGAAAAGCAAGCUAGAGGCAAAGAGAAGGAAGAUAUGUGCUGCUGACGGCCUCAAGUGUCACUUGUGAGUCAAGGUGAAGUCUGAGGUGAGAUAUAAAAGAAGCAUGCGGACUCAUCAAGUCACAUGGGUGACACACUCGGAUUCAUGCAUCAGAGGCUGACACAGGCGUACAAACACUAGUGCCACGCAUACACACUAGUGGACACAAAUAGAUUGGACUGUACAUAAAGUAUAUAAAAAGACAGACACGGAAGUGCACACCUGUCCGUGACUGACACCAGACUACAGCCAGACCCAGACAGACACCCUGGGACACACACAUCCUGGAGGGAAGGGAAGGAAGAGCCGCGCCGCCUCAUUUCCUGCCCUGUCCUCCAAAGCCGAGGGAAAAGCCUGCCUCAGAAGCGCUGAGUCAGCAGCGGGUGACAAAGGAGACUUGGGCGGCAGGGCGCGAGCACUUAACAUGCGGUCCAGCAAGGUCUUUGCAAAACAUCGAUCAUGUCAUUUCCUCGCUUGGAACGAAUUCAGCCUCUCAUAGCGGGCAACAGCACCAAGGCCUGAAAGGAAGGCUUGCUGGGUGCCAGGAAGCAGGACAUUGCAUUAAAAAGCAGGUCUGGUUCAGCACUAAUCCCUACCUACUUCUGCUUGGUCCCGCCAGCUCGCUACCAUGGAUUCCUGAGAUCUUUUUGUUCCGGCUCACUUCCUUCCUCUGGCCAUCAACCUAAGGAGGUCCUGUUUGCAAGCCAUUGUCCAUGACAUUGCUUUUUGUUUGGGUUUUUGAUUGUUGAGUCUGGUCUUGAACUUGUGAUCUUCCUGCCUCUUCAAUGUUAAGUGAACCACCAUCCCUGAAACAUUAGUUUCCUUGAUGAUACUCCAUCCUGUAUUUGUUUUGAAAUUGUACACUGGUGUGAGAUCCCUUGGAACUGGAGUUACAGACAAUUGUGAGCUACCAUGUGGGUGCUGGGAAUUGAACCCAGGUCCUGUGGAAGAGUAGACAGUGCUCUUAACCACUGAGCCAUCGCUCCAGCACCUUGUGUGCUGGUCUUAAACUUGAACAGGCUGCCUUGGAAACUCGCGAUGCUAUGGUCUGGGGUUAAAGGUAUAUGCCUCAGCCUACUCUCUGAAUUUUUAUUUUUACUUUAUUUGGUUCUCUUUUGUAGUUCUGUCUCCCUCAAUAAUAAAAGCUCUUGAUAUUGAA